UCUGUAGGCGGUGCGGCAAGUCGGGAGUGAAAUCUCUGGGCUUAACCCAGAGGCUGCUUCCGAAACUGCCGUGCUGGAGUGCGGGAGAGGUGAGUGGAAUUGCAGGUGUAGCGGUGAAAUGCGUAGAUAUCUGCAGGAACACCAGAGGCGAAGGCGGCUCACUGGACCGCAACUGACGCUGAGAGACGAAAGCUAGGGGAGCAAACAGGAUUAGAUACCCUGGUAGUCCUAGCCCUAAACGAUCAGGACUUGGCGUGGGCCCCGUACGGGGCUCGUGUCGGAGCUAACGUGUUAAGUCCUGCGCCUGGGGAGUACGGUCGCAAGGCUGAA
rnacentral:rRNA from 1 species